GACGAACGCUGGCGGCGUGCUUAACACAUGCAAGUCGAACGGGUCUGCCCUGUUUUUUGCGGGGUGGGUCAGUGGCGAACGGGUGAGUAACACGUGAGUAACCUGCCCCUCACUUCUGGAUAACCGCUUGAAAGGGUGGCUAAUACGGGGUGUUCUGGCUGUGCCGCAUGGUGUGGCUGGGAAAGAUUCACUUUUGUGGUGUUUUGGUGGGGGAUGGGCUCGCGGCCUAUCAGCUUGUUGGUGGGGUGAUGGCCUGCCAAGGCUUUGACGGGUAGCCGGCCUGGGAGGGUGGGCGGUCACACUGGGAAUGAGAUACGGCCCAGACUCCUGCGGGAGGCAGCAGUGGGGGGUAUUGCACAAUGGGCGGAAGCCUGAUGCAGCGACGGCGCGUGAGGGAUGGAGGCCUUCGGGUUGUGAACCUCUUUCGCCGGUGAAGAAGGUCCUGCUCUUUGUGGUGGGGUUGACGGUAGCCGGGUUAUGAAGCGCCGGCUAACUACGUG
rnacentral:rRNA from 1 species